rnacentral:rRNA from 1 species
AGAGUUUGAUCCUGGCUCAGGAUGAACGCUAGCUACAGGCUUAACACAUGCAAGUCGAGGGGCAUCAGGAAGAAAGCUUGCUUUCUUUGCUGGCGACCGGCGCACGGGUGAGUAACACGUAUCCAACCUGCCCUUUACUCGGGGAUAGCCUUUCGAAAGAAAGAUUAAUACCCGAUGGCAUAAUGAUUCCGCAUGGUUUCAUUAUUAAAGGAUUCCGGUAAAGGAUGGGGAUGCGUUCCAUUAGGUUGUUGGUGAGGUAACGGCUCACCAAGCCUUCGAUGGAUAGGGGUUCUGAGAGGAAGGUCCCCCACAUUGGAACUGAGACACGGUCCAAACUCCUACGGGAGGCAGCAGUGAGGAAUAUUGGUCAAUGGGCGCUAGCCUGAACCAGCCAAGUAGCGUGAAGGAUGAAGGCCCUAUGGGUUGUAAACUUCUUUUAUAAAGGAAUAAAGUCGGGUAUGGAUACCCGUUUGCAUGUACUUUAUGAAUAAGGAUCGGCUAACUCCGUGCCAGCAGCCGCGGUAAUACGGAGGAUCCGAGCGUUAUCCGGAUUUAUUGGGUUUAAAGGGAGCGUAGAUGGAUGUUUAAGUCAGUUGUGAAAGUUUGCGGCUCAACCGUAAAAUUGCAGUUGAUACUGGAUAUCUUGAGUGCAGUUGAGGCAGGCGGAAUUCGUGGUGUAGCGGUGAAAUGCUUAGAUAUCACGAAGAACUCCGAUUGCGAAGGCAGCCUGCUAAGCUGCAACUGACAUUGAGGCUCGAAAGUGUGGGUAUCAAACAGGAUUAGAUACCCUGGUAGUCCACACGGUAAACGAUGAAUACUCGCUGUUUGCGAUAUACAGCAAGCGGCCAAGCGAAAGCGUUAAGUAUUCCACCUGGGGAGUACGCCGGCAACGGUGAAACUCAAAGGAAUUGACGGGGGCCCGCACAAGCGGAGGAACAUGUGGUUUAAUUCGAUGAUACGCGAGGAACCUUACCCGGGCUUAAAUUGCAGAUGAAUUACGGUGAAAGCCGUAAGCCGCAAGGCAUCUGUGAAGGUGCUGCAUGGUUGUCGUCAGCUCGUGCCGUGAGGUGUCGGCUUAAGUGCCAUAACGAGCGCAACCCUUGUUGUCAGUUACUAACAGGUUCCGCUGAGGACUCUGACAAGACUGCCAUCGUAAGAUGUGAGGAAGGUGGGGAUGACGUCAAAUCAGCACGGCCCUUACGUCCGGGGCUACACACGUGUUACAAUGGGGGGUACAGAGGGCCGCUACCACGCGAGUGGAUGCCAAUCCCAAAAACCUCUCUCAGUUCGGACUGGAGUCUGCAACCCGACUCCACGAAGCUGGAUUCGCUAGUAAUCGCGCAUCAGCCACGGCGCGGUGAAUACGUUCCCGGGCCUUGCACACACCGCCCGU